UACAGAGGGUGCGAGCGUUAAUCGGAAUUACUGGGCGUAAAGCGCACGUAGGCGGCUUGGUAUGUCGGGUGUGAAAUCCCCGGGCUCAACCUGGGAACUGCAUCCGAAACUGCCUUGCUAGAGUAUGGGAGAGGGAAGUGGAAUUUCCGGUGUAGCGGUGAAAUGCGUAGAUAUCGGAAGGAACAUCAGUGGCGAAGGCGGCAUCCUGGACCGACAUUGACGCUGAAUACCGAAAGCUAGGGAGCAA
rnacentral:rRNA from 1 species